rnacentral:lncRNA from 1 species
GACGCUAACAACCAUGGAGGGCGAAGGAUUCCCGUCCCCUAUUAACUCAGACGCGGUUAAAAAAUACUUCGCAUAAAAUAGACCCGCUGGACAGUAAAAAGAAUAGUCUAGGCAAAAAAGGGGCAUCCCGACGAACCAAAAAAAAAAGAAUAAAGAGGUUCGGGCAAAAAUUAGGGAUAUAUAAAAAAAAAAGAGUACACCCGGUGAGUCGAAAACCCAAAAGGGCGGCUCAGGAAAAAAUGGGUAUCCCGGUGGAUUGAAAACACGAAAAGGGGGCGAUCCAGGCAAAAGUUAGGGAAUGAGCGAAU